UACAGCGGGUGCUAGCGUUGUUCGGAAUUACUGGGCGUAAAGGGCGCGUAGGCGGCUUCGUAAGUCAGAUGUGAAAUCCCCGGGCUUAACUCGGGACGUGCAUUUGAAACUGCGAGGCUAGAGUGUGUCAGAGGGGGGUAGAAUUCCACGUGUAGCAGUGAAAUGCGUAGAGAUGUGGAGGAAUACCGAUGGCGAAGGCAGCCCCCUGGGAUAACACUGACGCUCAUGCACGAAAGCGUGGGGAGCAAACAGG
rnacentral:rRNA from 1 species